UACGUAGGGUGCAAGCGUUGUCCGGAAUUAUUGGGCGUAAAGAGCUCGUAGGCGGCUUGUCACGUCGGGUGUGAAAGCCCGGGGCUUAACCCCGGGUCUGCAUUCGAUACGGGCUAGCUAGAGUGUGGUAGGGGAGAUCGGAAUUCCUGGUGUAGCGGUGAAAUGCGCAGAUAUCAGGAGGAACACCUAUGGCGAAGGCAGCUCUCUGGGACGGUACUGACGCUGAGACGCGAAAGCGUGGGGAGCGAACAGG
rnacentral:rRNA from 1 species